GGAGGUAGUGACAAUAAAUCACAAUGCGGAACAAUGUUUUGCAAUUGGAUUGAGAACAACGUACAAACCUUAUCGAUAAACAAUUGGAGGGCAAGUCUGGUGCCAGCAGCCGCGGUAAUUCCAGCUCCAAUAGCGUAUAUUAACGUUGUUGCAGUUAAAAAGCUCGUAGUUGAAGUGUGGGUGAUCGCUGUUGUGAGACUUCGGUCUCUCGACAGUAAGUCACCCCCUUCCAGUAUCCAGUAGUGGGUAUUCAGUUACUUACUAUUGUGUGUUGGUCGUUUACUGUGAGAAAAUUAGAGUGUUCAAAGCAGGCGUUUGCUUGAAUAGAUUAGCAUGGAAUAAUAAUUGAAGGCUUUCGUGUUCGAUUUGAUUGGUUUGUUCAUGGAAGCAAGGUUAAAAGGAACAGUUGGGGGUAUUCAUAUUCACUAGUUAGAGGUGAAAUUCUCGGAUUUAUGGAAGAUGAACAAGUGCGAAAGCA
rnacentral:rRNA from 1 species